AUUAGUAUAACUUCCUACGAAUGGCUGUUUUAGCAAAGUCAUCAUACCUGCUUACAAGAUCUGUUGUAAGUUUUCGCUUCAAUGAUCUCUUUGGAGUUGGCUACGCUGUCGAAUUCCUUCUUAAUUUUGAAAAUUAUCGUUACAGAGACACAGUUAACUCCGCUACCAAAUCAACGAUGCCUCUUACUGACUUAUCUGGCUGUUUUUCUAUUAAUUUGCCAUAAAAGUUAAGUACAACUUGUUUCUUUUCACUAUGGAAUACUUUUCUUCUGAAGUUUGAAUUCAUGUAGCAAGACGCCAUGUUGAAUUAUACUAUUAUCUCAUCUACUGUCGUUAGCUCUAAUUUUUUUUCCUCUUUAGCUU
rnacentral:lncRNA from 1 species